GAUGAACGCUGGCGGCGUGCCUAAUACAUGCAAGUCGAGCGAACAGAUAAGGAGCUUGCUCCUUUGACGUUAGCGGCGGACGGGUGAGUAACACGUGGGUAACCUACCUAUAAGACUGGGAUAACUUCGGGAAACCGGAGCUAAUACCGGAUAACAUUUGGAACCGCAUGGUUCUAAAGUGAAAGAUGGUUUUGCUAUCACUUAUAGAUGGACCCGCGCCGUAUUAGCUAGUUGGUAAGGUAACGGCUUACCAAGGCGACGAUGCGUAGCCGACCUGAGAGGGUGAUCGGCCACACUGGAACUGAGACACGGUCCAGACUCCUACGGGAGGCAGCAGUAGGGAAUCUUCCGCAAUGGGCGAAAGCCUGACGGAGCAACGCCGCGUGAGUGAUGAAGGGUUUCGGCUCGUAAAACUCUGUUAUUAGGGAAGAACAAAUGUGUAAGUAACUGUGCACGUCUUGACGGUACCUAAUCAGAAAGCCACGGCUAACUACGUG
rnacentral:rRNA from 1 species